AGGGCCUGUGCGUAGAGGUGUACGCGGCAGGGCGGGAGUGACGGAGACGGACCGAGGAAAAUGUCAGCCUUUGUAGAAUAAGCUUAGAGACAUCUACAACCACAGAAGAAUCGAAGUCUCAAAAGGUGAGUCUGGAGGAAGAUAGAGAGAGGGAGAAAACAGUCUGGAUUUGAAUUGAGAGCUCUGGACCCAAGCCUUGUGAUGAUGGUGAGUACUUUCUCUAGUCUCUCUGUCUCUGCCUUUUGUUCAUCUCUCUCUACUUUCUUCAGAGCUUUACCCUCUCUCCCUGUAGUAACUGGAAACUCCAGAGUCCAUGCCCCUACCUUCUGCAUCUUAGACACAGCCUGUGUGGU